AAUAUUAUGAAAUACUUUCACUAAAAGUAUUUCAUAAUAUUCUAAAUAAAAUUAUUAUUAUGAUAUAAGAUCAUACUAAUUUCAUGGAUUUUUCUUACAGACUCAGAUACUGAAAUCUCAGAGUUAUCAAAAAGUCUAACUGAUUCAGAUCCAGUGGUUUCAUCAUUGAAAGAAAAGAUCAAAUCUCUUGAAGAUUAAGAUAAGAAUGUUCGGUGUCUCAUUUGUUUGUAUUUUGCAGAAAGAUAUUAGUAUUAGAGGGGCAUGUCGCAGAAAGCCCAAAACAAUUCUGCCACAGGGUAAUUGGGAAAUGUAAAGUAAGAGUUUUCUUU